rnacentral:rRNA from 1 species
AUUGAACGCUGGCGGCAGGCCUAACACAUGCAAGUCGAGCGGAUGAAGGGAGCUUGCUCCUGGAUUCAGCGGCGGACGGGUGAGUAAUGCCUAGGGAUCUGCCUGGUAGUGGGGGAUAACGUCCGGAAACGGGCGCUAAUACCGCAUACGUCCUGAGGGAGAAAGUGGGGGAUCUUCGGACCUCACGCUAUCAGAUGAGCCUAGGUCGGAUUAGCUAGUUGGUGGGGUAAAGGCCUACCAAGGCGACGAUCCGUAACUGGUCUGAGAGGAUGAUCGGUCACACUGGAACUGAGACACGGUCCAGACUCCUACGGGAGGCAGCAGUGGGGAAUAUUGGACAAUGGGCGAAAGCCUGAUCCAGCCAUGCCGCGUGUGUGAAGAAGGUCUUCGGAUUGUAAAGCACUUUAAGUUGGGAGGAAGGGCAGUAAGUUAAUACCUUGCUGUUUUGACGUUACCAACAGAAUAAGCACCGGCUAACUUCGUG